GACGAACGCUGGCGGCGUGCUUAACACAUGCAAGUCGAACGGAAAGGCCCUGCUUUUGUGGGGUGCUCGAGUGGCGAACGGGUGAGUAACACGUGAGUAACCUGCCCUUGACUUUGGGAUAACUUCAGGAAACUGGGGCUAAUACCGGAUAGGAGCUCCUGCUGCAUGGUGGGGGUUGGAAAGUUUCGGCGGUUGGGGAUGGACUCGCGGCUUAUCAGCUUGUUGGUGGGGUAGUGGCUUACCAAGGCAUUGACGGGUAGCCGGCCUGAGAGGGUGACCGGCGACAUGGGGACUGCGAUACGGCGCAGACUCCUACGGUAGGCAGCAGGGGGGAAUAUUGCACAAUGGGGGGAAGCCUGAUGCAGCAACGCCGCGUGCGGGAUGACGGCCUUCGGGUUGUAAACCGCUUUCGCCUGUGACGAAGCGUGAGUGACGGUAAUGGGUAAAGAAGCACCGGCUAACUACGUG
rnacentral:rRNA from 1 species